UGCUGAUUCACACUAAACCUACUGUCGAUUAAAUCUCCCAAGUCAUUUUCCUCUGCUGCCUCUUCAAGCCUCCCCCAGCUGAUCCGAAGCACAACGUCUUUAGAAUUAAGCGCAAGAAGAAACCACUUGACUACCGGGAAGUGCCAAGUGAAAAUGAAUGCCAGUAAGCAGCCGCCUUCGAUCCUGAGCGUCCAUGCGGUGUCAGUGAGGAUUCUGCAGAGCAGAGAGGCACUUUGGUGCCCAGUCAUUCCCUCAGCUAGUCUAUCCACUCCAGUGCCUGUGACCUCACCCACGUAGCAACCUCGGUUUUCUCUCACCGUCAAGGCAACUAACAAUACUGCCUGGUCCUGGAGCAGCUCGGCUUCUCCAUCAGAUGUGCUCCACAGAUCGGAAGGAUCCUGAGCGUUCAUCUUCCCUCCUACAGACUCUGCUCUGCCCAUUCGAGCUCCUCACGUCUGCGAAGCCCCUGCCAGGUGCUACCAGGGAACAGGCAGAGAAAUGAGCUCGGCUGCUGCUCACACUCUGCCCUUUGAGAGAAGCCAGCUGUGAGUCUCCAGGAAGUGAAACUUGGUUACUCCUCCCACUGACACUCACCACCCUGGCCCCAGGCCCUGGCGGGAGGCGCUGUCAGCCAGGAAGCAUGCAAACUUAGCGAGCUACCUCUCAGGACACCCACACUGCGCCAGGCAACCUGCAGUUUCUAUCACAGGAAAUCAAGAUGACAGCACUCCAACCGGGACUGCACAAUUAAUUCGAGCUCCUCUUGCGGGACCAGACCACGGUGUCUCCCUGGUGCUACUAGCCUCUGGUUUUUGAAGUUUAUGCAGAAGAGCAGCUGUGCAGGUCACGAAGCCCAUUGCAGGGAAGGUGGAACAUCGAGUCCUCGACAGUAGGAGAGAAAUCCUUGUCUUCACGGAGGUUCCCUAGCAAUCUCCCUGGGGGGUCACCCCGGAGGAGCUCCAUUCUCUCGGUAUUUCCUGACGCCACCUGCACCCCUCACCCUCCGUGCAUUCACAGUAGAGCAAAGCUCACAUGCUCCGUCAGGGCCAUGGGAAUGGGGCGUCAAGGACCAAGUUCAUGGGUUCUGUGGACUUUAUCCCAGUUCCUACAAGUUUGUUCAGUUACUUUGUUAUUGAAGUAGGGACGGGUGUCUCCCGAGAUCCUAUGAAAGAAAUGCAUGUGUUGCCCUCUCCCCUCUCUCUUCAAACUAGCUCUUCCCACUUCCUUGCUUCUCCUUGAACGUGACUCAUUUUUGC